GAGGGUGUAGCUUAAGUGGUAGAGCAUAUGCUUAGCAUGCACAAGGUCCUGGGUUCAAUCCCCCACACCUCCA
rnacentral:tRNA from 1 species